UUCAAACCCCUGGUGUUCCAGCCAGGGUUCUUAUGUUUCACCAUAGUACAUUAAUGUGACUCUUCAAUACCGUAGGAAAGGAUAUGGAUAGCAGAAAAAAGAGGAGGGGGGACGUAGCGUUUGAAAAUAUUGUGUCUCUCUUAUACCCUGUUCUAAGAGAUUUCUUGAAAAAGUACAAUUUACAAUAUGUUUAAAGUUCCAAAAUCUCUCCAAAAUGAUACAUAGUUCUCUAAGUCCAUAACUUUCUGUGUUCUGUGUUCACCAGUUGUUUCCCCAAGUAUUCCAAGACUUUAUUCCUUUAAACUUUACUCCUUCUCCGUGGUGAUUGUAAUGGCCUACCCUGAUGUCCUAGUUAGGGUUUUACUGCUGUGAACAGACACCAUGACCAAGGCAACUCUUAUAAAGACCACAUUUAAUUGGGGCUGGCUUACAGGUCCAGAGGUUCAGUCCAUUAUCAUCAAGGCAGGAAUAUAUCAGUAUCCAGGCAGGCAUGGUGCAGGAGGAGCUGAGAGUUUUACAUCUUUAUCCGAAGGCUGCUAGUGGAAGAUUGAUUUCCAGCCAGCUGGCGUGAGGGUCUUAAGCUCAUGCCCACAGUGACACCUACUCCAACAGGGCCACAUCUCCAAAUAGUGUCACUUCCUGGGCCAAGCAUAUCCAAACCACCACAUCUGUGGAAGAGGAAUAAAGAUGCAAAUGCUAAGGUUCCCUUGUAUUGGAGGGGCUGCUUUGGGGCUAGUAACCCAAAUAACCAUGGCAUCUUCCAUUUAUUAAAGAUUAAAGACAAUCACAAGUAGUUAUGUAGAUGUUAAAGAAAACCAUGGAUUUUGUUACUAUUGGUUCUUAAAUUUUAAAAUUCUUUUGUUUCAGGAUGAGGAUUCAUUCAUGAAAUUUGUAAGUGAUGAUAUUCAUCAGUGUACACUACUAACAGCUGAUUCUAUUGGUGACCCAUUCUUUCCUCGGACUACACAGAUUUUAUUGGAGUAUCAGCUAGGAAGAUGGGUACCACGCCUUCGAGAACCACGAGAUUUAUAUGGCGUCUCUUCUUCUGGUCCGCUGAGCCCAACACGGUGGCCAUACCACUGUGAGGUCAUUGAUGAAAAAGUCCAGCAUAUUGGUAUGUUUUUAGAAGUUAGGGGAUUCAGACAUUAGCAAACGUAUCAAUCUUGAUGUUAAUGAGGACACUAAUGAUGUAACAACUGUAUUCCAGAAGUAUAACAUAAGCCAUGUAUAUAAUAAAAAAUGUCCUGCUAGCUAUACAAGUUUAAAAGUGGAAUUAC
rnacentral:lncRNA from 1 species